rnacentral:rRNA from 1 species
AGAGUUUGAUCCUGGCUCAGGACGAACGCUGGCGGCGUGCUUAACACAUGCAAGUCGAACGGAAAGGCCCUUUCGAGGGUACUCGAGUGGCGAACGGGUGAGUAACACGUGGGUGAUCUGCCCUGCACUUUGGGAUAAGCCUGGGAAACUGGGUCUAAUACCGGAUAGGACUACGCGAUGCAUGUCGUGUGGUGGAAAGCUUUUGCGGUGUGGGAUGGGCCCGCGGCCUAUCAGCUUGUUGGUGGGGUGAUGGCCUACCAAGGCGACGACGGGUAGCCGGCCUGAGAGGGUGACCGGCCACACUGGGACUGAGAUACGGCCCAGACUCCUACGGGAGGCAGCAGUGGGGAAUAUUGCACAAUGGGCGCAAGCCUGAUGCAGCGACGCCGCGUGAGGGAUGACGGCCUUCGGGUUGUAAACCUCUUUCAGUAGGGACGAAGCGAAAGUGACGGUACCUACAGAAGAAGGACCGGCCAACUACGUGCCAGCAGCCGCGGUAAUACGUAGGGUCCGAGCGUUGUCCGGAAUUACUGGGCGUAAAGAGCUCGUAGGUGGUUUGUCGCGUUGUUCGUGAAAACUCACAGCUUAACUGUGGGCGUGCGGGCGAUACGGGCAGACUAGAGUACUGCAGGGGAGACUGGAAUUCCUGGUGUAGCGGUGGAAUGCGCAGAUAUCAGGAGGAACACCGGUGGCGAAGGCGGGUCUCUGGGCAGUAACUGACGCUGAGGAGCGAGAGCGUGGGUAGCGAACAGGAUUAGAUACCCUGGUAGUCC